ACUAUGAUGUUUAGCCGGGUCGAGAGACUGAACGGCCACAUUGGGACUGAGAUACGGCCCAAACUCCUACGGGAGGCAGCAGUAGGGAAUAUUCCACAAUGAGCGAAAGCAUGAUGGAGCGACACAGCGUGCACGAUGAAGGUCUUCGGAUUGUAAAGUGCUGUUAUAAGGGAAGAACAUUUGCAAUAGGAAAUGAUUGCAGACUGACGGUACCUUGUCAGAAAGCGAUGGCUAACUAUGUGCCAGCAGCCGCGGUAAUACAUAGGUCGCAAGCGUUAUCCGGAAUUAUUGGGCGUAAAGCGUUCGUAGGCUGUUUGUUAAGUCUGG
rnacentral:rRNA from 1 species